ensembl:snRNA U6 U6 spliceosomal RNA
AUGCUCCACCGGCAGCACAUACACUAGCACUGGAACAGUGAGGAGAUUAGCAUGACUCCUGUACAAGGAUGACAUGCAAAUUCAUGAAGUGUUCCAUCUUUUU